GACGAACGCUGGCGGCGUGCUUAACACAUGCAAGUCGAGCGGUAAGGCCCUUUCGGGGGUACACGAGCGGCGAACGGGUGAGUAACACGUGGGUGACCUGCCCUCAGCUCUGGGAUAAGCCUGGGAAACCGGGUCUAAUACUGGAUAUGACUCCAUGACGCAUGUUGUGGGGUGGAAAGCCUUGUGCGGCUGAGGAUGGGCCCGCGGCCUAUCAGCUUGUUGGUGGGGUGANGGCCUACCAAGGCGACGACGGGUAGCCGGCCUGAGAGGGCGACCGGCCACACUGGGACUGAGACACGGCCCAGACUCCUACGAGAGGCAGCAGUGGGGAAUCUUGCGCAAUGGGCGAAAGCCUGACGCAGCGACGCCGCGUGAGGGAUGACGGCCU
rnacentral:rRNA from 1 species